rnacentral:rRNA from 1 species
AUUGAACGCUGGCGGCAGGCCUAACACAUGCAAGUCGAACGAGUGGCGGACGGGUGAGUAAUGUCUGGGAAACUGCCUGAUGGAGGGGGAUAACUACUGGAAACGGUAGCUAAUACCGCAUACCAUCAGAUGUGCCCAGAUGGGAUUAGCUAGUUGGUGGGGUAACGGCUCACCAAGGCGACGAUCCCUAGCUGGUCUGAGAGGAUGACCGGCCACACGGGAACUGAGACGCGGACCAAACUCCUACGGGAGGCAGCAGUGGGGAAUAUUGCACAAUGGGCGAAAGCCUGAUGCAGCCAGGCCGCGUGUAUGAAGAAGGCCUUCGGGUUGUAAAGUACUUUCAGCGGGGAGGCGUAACCCGCAGAAGAAGCACCGGCUAACUCCGUGCAAGCAGCCGCGGUAUAC